GUGGUUCCAAGAAAAGCCUCUAAGCUUCAGUCUAACGAUGACCGUACCGCAAACCGACACAGGUGGGCGAGAUGAGUAUUCUAAGGCGCUUGAGAGAACUCGGGAGAAGGAACUCGGCAAAUUGGUACCGUAACUUCGGGAUAAGGUACGCCCUUGUAGCUUGAUGCGCCUGCGCGCAGAGGGUGAAGGGGUUGCAAUAAACUGGUGGCUGCGACUGUUUAAUAAAAACACAGCACUCUGCAAACACGAAAGUGGACGUAUAGGGUGUGACGCCUGCCCGGUGCCGGAAGAUUAAAUGAUGGGGUGCAAGCUCUUGAUUGAAGUCCCGGUAAACGGCGGCCGUAACUAUAACGGUCCUAAGGUAGCGAAAUUCCUUGUCGGGUAAGUUCCGACCUGCACGAAUGGCGUAACGAUGGCCACACUGUCUCCUCCCGAGACUCAGCGAAGUUGAAGUGUUUGUGAUGAUGCAAUCUACCCGCGGCUAGACGGAAAGACCCCAUGAACCUUUACUGUAGCUUUGCAUUGGACUUUGAACCGAUCUGUGUAGGAUAGGUGGGAGGCUAUGAAACCGGAACGCUAGUUUCGGUGGAGCCGUCCUUGAAAUACCACCCUGGUUUGUUUGAGGUUCUAACCUUGGCCCGUGAUCCGGGUCGGGGACAGUGCAUGGUAGGCAGUUUGACUGGGGCGGUCUCCUCCCAAAGCGUAACGGAGGAGUACGAAGGUACGCUAGGUACGGUCGGAAAUCGUGCUGAUAGUGCAAUGGCAUAAGCGUGCUUAACUGCGAGACCGACAAGUCGAGCAGGUGCGAAAGCAGGUCAUAGUGAUCCGGUGGUUCUGUAUGGAAGGGCCAUCGCUCAACGGAUAAAAGGUACUCUGGGGAUAACAGGCUGAUACCGCCCAAGAGUUCAUAUCGACGGCGGUGUUUGGCACCUCGAUGUCGGCUCAUCUCAUCCUGGGGCUGUAGCCGGUCCCAAGGGUAUGGCUGUUCGCCAUUUAAAGAGGUACGUGAGCUGGGUUUAAAACGUCGUGAGACAGUUUGGUCCCUAUCUGCCGUGGGCGUUGGAUAUUUGAAGGGGGCUGCUCCUAGUACGAGAGGACCGGAGUGGACGAACCUCUGGUGUACCGGUUGUCACGCCAGUGGCAUCGCCGGGUAGCUAUGUUCGGAAGAGAUAACCGCUGAAAGCAUCUAAGCGGGAAACUCGCCUUAAGAUGAGAUAUCCCUGGGGACUAGAUCCCCUUGAAGGGUCGUUCGAGACCAGGACGUUGAUAGGUCAGGUGUGUAAGCGCAGUAAUGCGUUCAGCUAACUGAUACUAAUUGCCCGUAAGGCUUGAUCC
rnacentral:rRNA from 1 species